GCCACCCCACGGCGUAUGGAGUUCCUGAGCCAGGGAUCAGAUCUGAGCCAUAGUUGCAACCUACACCAUAGCUGUGGCAACACUGGAUCCUUAACCCACUGAGCCGGGCUGGGGAUGGAUCCUGCGUCCCAGUGCUCCCAAGAGGCUGCCAAUCCCAUUGCCCCACAGCGGGAUCUCCAAGUUGAUCGUUCUCAACAUUCAACCUUGUCCAAAUUAAUGUGUGGUUUCCAUCUCCUGAUUAGAUCCUGACUGAAAGAAUAAUCAAAACCUUCGUCCCCGUUACAGGAGGACAUGGCACUAUUUAUCAGAAAAUGAAUAAAUCAUCUCAUUUUUCAUAUAUGAAAACUGUCUGACCAGAACAUCUAACGGAUUCUUUGAAUCUCAUCUCUGAUGUAAAAUGUAAAUGUCUGUCAACCUUUGAAUUCUCUUUCUUGCCUUUACUUCAUUAAUACACAUGAAACAAUUGCUUAAGAUGGUAUCUGAAACUUAAUUCAGGAUUGCAGAGUCAAAUACUGAAGAGUUAAUUUUACGAAAUACUUUUCCCUUCUUGGGCUACAAAUUAAUCUUGGCAUCCAGGGCCAUAGCAUUUUGAUACUUGCAUUUUUACAAUAGCCAAUUUCAUAUGAAUCUCAUUUCCUUCCCAAAUUAGGAAUACUGUAAACCAAUAAAGCCAUUUGGCCAGAUCAAUAAUAACUAGAUUGCAUUCUUCUGAUAUGCAUAACUCAGUAUGAUGAAAUAAGAUGCUGUAUCCCAAUGAAAAUUCACGGAAUGAAUUAGUCUUUUACACAAUGUAAACACUGUAAAUUUUCCUUGUUCAAAAUGAGCAUCAAUUGGUUUGACUGUGUAAUAAAAAAAAGGUAGCAGAUGUUCAGAGAAAGGGGGAAAAAUGCCUAUUUACAUGCACAAAACAGUAUCUUUCUCACUAUCUUGGGUGGAAAAAAACCUCUGGAAAUAUCAUACUUGUUGGGUUUAAAUAUUACAUAAAUGGGCAUUGGAAGCUCAUCUCUCAAAGUAUUGACGCAUGUGUACAAAUUUAAAGUGCAUCUUGUUUACACUUACAAAUUAAAGUGUAAUAUCCUUACAUUUAAAUGUAUUAAUCCUUAGAGAAAACAGUACAUUACGGUUGUUCACAUUUUCAAUCUUUCUAUUUCAAUCUCUACACAAAUGCUGUUUCCAAUUAAGUUUAGUGGUGCACUUUGUUCUAUGGUUUAACUCCGCUAGUACCACGCCACUUCUUUAGCUAACUGCAAAUUUGGUAAAUAUGAGUGCUUCUAUUUUCAAGUAAAUGAAUUUUAUGCAAACUCAUUUCCACUGUCACACGAUUAAUUCCCCUUUAGCAUUAUAAUCUAUUAUAUUUGUGGAUGAUAAGCAGAAAAUGAAAUGGAACUUCUCUUUCUGAUGGAGCUCAAUCCAUUAGUGAAACUUCAAGCUGUGUAGCUAAAAGGUCAUUUUACUUCAUUGUAAUAUAAGUGCUCUUUUUUUCUUAAUCUUAGAAUUCAAUUGUAGAGUCAGCAUUUAAAAAAAAAAAAAAAAAAAAAAACCACCUCCCAAUGAUGCUCAGUAAUUUCAGUAAUGUUUGAACACCUUAUUGCAGGGCAUUUUUGCCUCUUUAAAUCUUCAACUAUUGCCCAAAGUUUAAACUGCAUAGGUUUUUAUGGGUCCUUAGUUAUUUUUACCUCAAAAUCUUAACAGAUUAUAUAUUGUAUAAAAUUAUAAAAUAUUUCUGAAAUGUUUUAAAACUGUAUGAAAACAUCCUUUCUGUUCCAUAAAAAUGGAGUUCAAAUCUGAUAUUGCAAAUUAGAUGUCAGAUGCUCAAGAUAAUAGGCAUAAAGUGCAGACGUGUCCACUAGCGGGAGCCUCAGAAAAGACCCCCACCCCAAGAGCCUGCAGCAUGGCUGUGAUAGUCCCUAUUCUAUAAGAAGGUCUACAAUUGAGAAGAAGUGGAUGUUUUCUCUGGAGAAAGUUGUACCCUGUAACUAAAACCUAGUGAAGGGUUCUUCAAGGGGCUACCAAGAAAGUGUUAUGUGUGACAACUACAGUGUUUGGGUGUUGGGGGAGCAUAACGGACCUGGGUCUGACUUCUUCCUGCAAAGUCUGUGGAAUGAGAGAUGAAAUGAAUAAUAGCUCUGGUAGCAUAACAAGAGUAUUACUAAUCUGUUGGAAUCAACCAAGGUCUCGAAGUUCUUCAGAACAAAUAAAUAUGUGAGUGUUCUCUGUAGACAGAGGUGGGAAUCCAUGGAAAAGCUAGCCGAUCUGGAGGGGGCCUUUAUUUUUUAAGGGGAAAAUAAAUGGGGGAAAGAGAAUGGAAAGAACCCAAACAGAGGAGCCCACUACACAAGCACAGUGCGGGUUGCCCCAGCUGGAUGGAUAGAACCCUUUCUCCAAGUCACAGGCAUUGCUGUCAGAGGGAAAUUCCAAAGAACCCAUUGAAGCAUCCAUGGAAGGAAAAAAAAAAAUCCUUAUAACUACCCCUGCUAGGACAAAAGUGAACAAAGCAAGUUGUGAUGUUAUCACUCAAGAAAGGAUGAUCUUCAUGCACUUGUACUCCCUCCAUCUCACCCUCUUGUGACUCCGGUACGGCUGGAAGCAAUAGCCCCAGAAGGGGAAGGAGGGAGGGAGAGGCCAGUGUGAAGACUUGAAGGGGCUUGAGUUCCUGCUGUGGAGCAAGAGGAUCUGUGGCCUCUUGGGAGCUCUGGGACCCAGGUUGGACCCCUGGCCCUGCACAGUGGGGUUAAGGAUUCAGCGUUGCUGCAGCUGUGGCUUAGAUCACAACUGCAGCUCGGAUCAGAUCUCUGGCCUGGGAGCUCCAUAUGCAGCCAAAAAAAAAAAAAAAAAAGGUUUAAGGGCUGAACAAUUUCUGCAGGCAGAUGACCCACCAAAACUCUGCCUCAGCUGGAGGAGGGGAACAAAUAAAGAUUGAGUGUGGACUAAUAUAUUGAACUAGACAGUCUAUUUUCUGAAUCGAGACUGUAUUUUUCACAUAAUGUGACCCUAGGACUUCCUAUUAUCCAAGAGUAAUGAACUUGUUGAAGGUUUCAUCCAAUAAUGGAGGAAAAACUUCUCCUACUGAAUGUAUUUUACAUGGACACUAGAAAACAAAAUCAAGUGGAUUUUAUGGUUACAUCCUGGGAGUUGUACUUUUUCAGUUACAUAUAUUAUUUAUGAAAUUAUAUGAUUUGAAUAUGUGUCCCCAAUAAUAAGUAUGUAGAAAAAAAAUUUGUUUUAUAUAAAUGUAUCUAUAUUAAUCCCCAAAGACUCAGGGGUAUGCAAAAUUAGAAUCCAAUGUAUCAAGGAAAAAGCACCUGUAUGGUGAACAUUCAAUGUAUUUACAGUGCAACAGUAUUAUACUUAAUGGUAAUAAUGAUGGCAAUAGCUAAUAAUAGCUAACAACUAAGCACUUAUUUUGUGCCAAACACCACCCUGAAGGUUUUAUAAUGGGAAUGUGCAAAAAUGGACUCAUCAAGCCUAUAAGGUAGGUAACACUACUAUCUUCGUUCUCCUUCUUUUUUAAAAAAACUUUAUUAGAACAUAGUUGACUCACAACACACACUACUGUAUUAAAUGUACAAAUAACAAGAACCUACAGAAUAGCACAGGGAAAUCUAUUCAAUAGUUUGUAAUAACCUAUAAGGGAAAAAAGAAAGGAUAUAUGUAUAUGUAUAACUGAUUCACUUAGCAGUACAACUCAUUACUCUUUAAAGAGAAGCCAAUCUCAAUGAUAAUCAAAGAGAGAUCAUUUUGUUUAGAAUCUUUUGGUUAAAUUAAUAUUUAGAGCAUUGCUUUCAUCCAACAUUCUUUCAAAUCAUACCACUGAGUCUAUAUUUCCUCUGUAUAUUGAUCCCCUUUUCCUGCUUCCACUGCUUUUUUGUACUUUUUGUAUAUUUUUACCAAGGCAACCAGGACAGCAAAUAAGCUCUCAAAAUGCUGAGCAGUUAUUUCCUACACAGUCAGAAAACCGACCCUAGAAUCAAUAUUUAAUGUGCAAAUAUUAUGUCUGGAGUCUCAAAAGUCUUUAUGCUUGCCAGAUCAUUUUUAAAACCUUCUGACUAACUCGUGUAUAUCCUCGAACCUUUCCACUGAGCUCUGGGGAUCUUUCAGAUGGACUGGAGGACCCUUCAUCUUCUGAACCCCCAAAUCCUUGCAGGAUUGCUCAGGAAAUAGUUAAACAUUAACCACUUACGAUUGCCUCCAACACCCUGCACUGAUUUUCUGCAAUCCAGUUAGCAACCUUUGGCAAAAGAAGUAUGACCUUCCUCUCAUGGACCACUAGCGAAUCAGAGUCAAAGAGCCAAACAGGCCAUCAGAAGUCACCGAGUUUAUAACCCAUUUUAUAUCUCAGGAAAACUAAAGACCAUGAAGGUUAAGUGACUUGGCUGAAGUGACACAGUGUGCUGAGAGAGAGCAAACCCUGGCUGUCAGAACAAUGCUGCUUUCACCUUUCCUGCUAAGAAAAUAUCAUCUCCAAUUAUUUCCACUGAAGCAAUGCCCACCUCCCACCCCCGCUUUCUAUUGUAUACUACUUCCUUAUCUGUGGAGAACAAAUCUGGAUACCAAUUUAGAAUCUGAUAUAUCAUAUUGGGUCUCUUCUUGAGGUUAAAAUAUUGUAAGAAAUAUGGAACCCAUAAGAAAUCAUUGGUUCAGGUAGCAACAACACAACUUCAUGCAUUAAUCAUCACCAUAUUUUAUUAGAGAGCCUGCAUGCAUAAAGAUUGAGAAAAAAGCUAAAACAGCUUUCAGUGGUUUCAAAAGAGAUAUUGGCUAAGGAUUAUUAUUAGCAUAGGUUCCAGUUGAUAGGGAAACAGGUUGUGACUCUAGUCAGUGGUUCAGUUUGGAGAGAAGCCCAAAGGAACAACUUUGAAAGGUAAAUAUAUAUCC
rnacentral:lncRNA from 1 species